rnacentral:sRNA from 1 species
CUUUGGUAGUUUUUUUGCACUAACUUCAGGAACCAGCUCAUGAUCUCACGAUGUAUGGAAAAAUAAUCUUUGUAUUACUAUUGUCAG